rnacentral:tRNA from 1 species
CCGCUUCGUAGUCCGCACGGCCGAUGUCGGCCGCCUGAGAAGCGGCCGGAUCCACUGGCUGACCGCUUCGUCCAACUCGGCGGCAGGGGUC